AUGAUAUCAGUGGUAUAUGUUUGCAAUUUGGAGCGGCUUAACAUAUAUUUGCAUUUGAUUGCGGUACCGGUUCGUGGAGGUUCCAUAGGUGGUUCACCAGCGGCUCGCGAUGGUGAUGGAGGUGAUGGACAAUGGGCUUGUCGUGCGUGCAGCUGGGUUGGAGUGGAUCCGAGUUCUAAUCUGGGAGGUUGUAAACAGUGGUCUAUGGCGAUGUCGAUGUUGCUUACAUCGUUGAUGGUUGCCCUUUUCCUCUUCCUUCAAAAAAAAAAUUCAAAUGGUAAAAAAAAGGGUGACAGGUUUUGGAGGAGAGACCGGAGGAUUCAAUGCUUCAUGGAGGCUUGUAAACUUUUCAGCACAAUUGCGAUUUCCUUCUCCUCAUUUCUUUUCUACCUUGAAAACAAGGUUCAGAAAUUCAUAAAUUGA